UCUCAUAUUCGAAGGCAAGGCAAUCGUCCAACACACGUCUUAGCUCAGUAUGUUAGGAAUUUAGUUAGUUUUAUAGCUUGGAUAGAGGAAAAUCCUAUUAUGAUUGAGUCGACUUUGGCUUAAGAUGAAAGCAGUUGAACAAGAGAUUCAUGGGGAACCCUUGGCAACAUCAUACCACUUGAAGUUUACCGGAACAGUUGAUUAAAUUUGGUAGUUCAAUUUUGUCGUAUAAAUUACAAUAGUCUGUUUGACUUCAAAAAAUUUUAAUUACUGAUCUGUUUGAUUGACACAGGCAUACACAAGAACUUGUUCCUGUGAGAGUUAUUGAGACCCUACCCAUUGAUACAAAAAGUGUUAUUUGUAUGCAUACAUCCCACUUAGUUGUCUAUCUUGAAUAUAAGAUGAAGCAAAGGUUCUAAUUAUAAGCUGAGUUUAAUGGACAUUUUUUAAGUAGGGUCAUGUUUGCACCUGUUACAAUUCUCUCCAGGACAUAUGGGAGUUUCUGUCACCUGGAGUACUCUGUAUAGCUUUUUAAUAGAUAAUUGAUGCUGGUUAAAAUGCAAUGGUUGCAAGGGGAUCAGUUGAUAGAGGGUUUUAUUAUUUUCAAAUUCCUAGGCCUUCUUUUCCCAUUUAAAUGAAGAGAAAGUGUAACCAAAUGAAGUUUUCCAUUGGAAGGGUGAAAGAUGGAUAUCAUAAAUGAUUCCAGUAGCUAUUUUUGUGUUCUGGACUAAAGAAGUUGCAAUUUUGGUGUCUCGCUGACUUCAUGUAAUUCGGGACUUCGCCUUUGGUUGAAUUUGACCCUUUGCUUUUGUAUUUUUUUUUUUUUUUUUUCAUUUUUUCAAUUGUAUGCAACUUCUUUUCCAAAAAUAGAAAAUGGAAAUGUUUUAUCAGAAUAUAAUUGCUGAAUAAUACUUAAAAUUCAUGUUACAGACUUCACAGAGGGGUGUACACAUAACGUUUUGUAGACUUUGUAUUGCUCUUUGUCAUUUCUCAUAAUUAACUGUGUGACAACUUCUUGUUUUUAUCCACUUUUUCACGCUCUCUGUGUCUCAGCCCCUUCCUCUUUAUCAAAAAAAGAAUGUACUAAUAGUCAGCUGGUGUAGUGAAAUAUUCAGUAAUUUUCAAUGAUGGCAAGUUUGGAUUGACGGAGAAGAGAGGGGGGAAGGGUAGAACAGAGUUAGUCAGAAAUUAUCAGAGAAAUCAACUCAUGGCAAUGGCCAAAAGUGGACUUGCACAUAGGAAUCGCAAUCUGGCCCAUAAUGUUGAAGGUGGGGGACAGGUUUUGGUCUCCCCGCCCUGGGAUAAUUUGUAUAAGUAAAAACAAAUCCCUUCCUCUGACACUCAGAGUUUAGUCUUUUUAUAUAUAUAAAUAACACAUAAUAUAUGUACUUAUCAAUGUCGUAAGUAUGCUAUAUGUUGCCUGUGCUCUCUAUGUUCUAUUGUCUCUGGAUUCAUCAGGUUUCGAUGUUACUUUGGCAGAAAUGGGGCAGCGAUUAUCUUGCUCUUGUAUAUGAACUGGAUUUUGAAGAUAAUGUCAAAGGGACAUGAAUACUUCUGCUUCUAAAUCAAUCCCUACGGGGAUUGUACAAUCUAGAGCUCUCUGUUCUUUGGAGUAACAAAGGUUUUGCUGAACUGGCUUCUUUGCCAUGUCUUGAAGGUGACUUGUUGAAACAUUCAUUUGUCUGUGGGAAUAGGUGAUAAUCUUAAUUACAAACAACUGAUAUAUGGAAGUGGGAGCAGUG